rnacentral:rRNA from 1 species
GAUGAACGCUGACAGAAUGCUUAACACAUGCAAGUCAACUUGAAUUUGGGUUUUUAACUUAGGUUUGGGUGGCGGACGGGUGAGUAACGCGUAAAGAACUUGCCUCACAGCUAGGGACAACAUUUGGAAACGAAUGCUAAUACCUAAUAUUAUGAUAAUAGGGCAUCCUAUAAUUAUGAAAGCUAUAAGCGCUGUGAGAGAGCUUUGCGUCCCAUUAGCUAGUUGGAGAGGUAACGGCUCACCAAGGCGAUGAUGGGUAGCCGGCCUGAGAGGGUGAUCGGCCACAAGGGGACUGAGACACGGCCCUUACUCCUUCGGGAGGCAGCAGUGGGGAAUAUUGGACAAUGGACCAAGAGUCUGAUCCAGCAAUUCUGUGUGCACGAUGAAGUUUUUCGGAAUGUAAAGUGCUUUCAGUUGGGAAGAAAGAAAUGACGGUACCAACAGAAGAAGUGACGGCUAAAUACGUG